rnacentral:rRNA from 1 species
GGGUUGUGAGGUUAAGCGACUAAGCGUACACGGUGGAUGCCCUGGCAGUCAGAGGCGAUGAAGGACGUGCUAAUCUGCGAAAAGCGUCGGUAAGGUGAUAUGAACCGUUACAGCCGGCGAUGUCCGAAUGGGGAAACCCAGUGCAAUUCGUUGCACUAUCGUUAACUGAAUACAUAGGUUAACGAGGCGAACCGGGGGAACUGAAACAUCUAAGUACCCCGAGGAAAAGAAAUCAACCGAGAUUCCCCCAGUAGCGGCGAGCGAACGGGGAGCAGCCCAGAGUCUGAAUCAGCUUGUGUGUUAGUGGAACGGUCUGGAAAGUCCGACGGUACAGGGUGAUAGUCCCGUACACCAAAAUGCACAGGCUGUGAACUCGAAGAGUAGGGCGGGACACGUGGUAUCCUGUCUGAAUAUGGGGGGACCAUCCUCCAAGGCUAAAUACUCCUGACUGACCGAUAGUGAACCAGUACCGUGAGGGAAAGGCGAAAAGAACCCCGGCGAGGGGAGUGAAAAAGAACCUGAAACCGUGUACGUACAAGCAGUGGGAGCACCUUCGGGUGUGACUGCGUACCUUUUGUAUAAUGGGUCAGCGACUUAUAUUCUGUAGCAAGGUUAACCGUAUAGGGGAGCCGCAGGGAAACCGAGUCUUAACUGGGCGUUAAGUUGCAGGGUAUAGACCCGAAACCCGGUGAUCUAGCCAUGGGCAGGUUGAAGGUUGGGUAACACUAACUGGAGGACCGAACCGACUAAUGUUGAAAAAUUAGCGGAUGACUUGUGGCUGGGGGUGAAAGGCCAAUCAAACCGGGAGAUAGCUGGUUCUCCCCGAAAGCUAUUUAGGUAGCGCCUCGUGAACUCAUCUUCGGGGGUAGAGCACUGUUUCGGCUAGGGGGUCAUCCCGACUUACCAACCCGAUGCAAACUACGAAUACCGAAGAAUGUUAUCACGGGAGACACACGGCGGGUGCUAACGUCCGUCGUGAAGAGGGAAACAACCCAGACCGCCAGCUAAGGUCCCAAAGUCACAGUUAAGUGGGAAACGAUGUGGGAAGGCACAGACAGCCAGGAUGUUGGCUUAGAAGCAGCCAUCAUUUAAAGAAAGCGUAAUAGCUCACUGGUCGAGUCGGCCUGCGCGGAAGAUGUAACGGGGCUAAACUGUGCACCGAAGCUGCGGCAGCGACACUUAGGUGUUGUUGGGUAGGGGAGCGUUCUGUAAGCCUGCGAAGGUGGCCUGUGAGGGUUGCUGGAGGUAUCAGAAGUGCGAAUGCUGACAUAAGUAACGAUAAUGCGGGUGAAAAGCCCGCACGCCGGAAGACCAAGGGUUCCUGUCCAACGUUAAUCGGGGCAGGGUGAGUCGACCCCUAAGGCGAGGCCGAAAGGCGUAGUCGAUGGGAAACAGGUUAAUAUUCCUGUACUUGGUGUUACUGCGAAGGGGGGACGGAGAAGGCUAUGUUAGCCGGGCGACGGUUGUCCCGGUUUAAGCAUGUAGGCGGAGGUUCCAGGUAAAUCCGGUACCUUUUAACGCUGAGGUGUGAUGACGAGGCACUACGGUGCUGAAGUAACAAAUGCCCUGCUUCCAGGAAAAGCCUCUAAGCAUCAGGUAACAUUGAAUCGUACCCCAAACCGACACAGGUGGUCAGGUAGAGAAUACCAAGGCGCUUGAGAGAACUCGGGUGAAGGAACUAGGCAAAAUGGUGCCGUAACUUCGGGAGAAGGCACGCUGAUAUGUAGGUGAAGCCCCUGCGGGUGGAGCUGAAAUCAGUCGAAGAUACCAGCUGGCUGCAACUGUUUAUUAAAAACACAGCACUGUGCAAACACGAAAGUGGACGUAUACGGUGUGACGCCUGCCCGGUGCCGGAAGGUUAAUUGAUGGGGUUAUCCGUAAGGAGAAGCUCUUGAUCGAAGCCCCGGUAAACGGCGGCCGUAACUAUAACGGUCCUAAGGUAGCGAAAUUCCUUGUCGGGUAAGUUCCGACCUGCACGAAUGGCGUAAUGAUGGCCAGGCUGUCUCCACCCGAGACUCAGUGAAAUUGAACUCGCUGUGAAGAUGCAGUGUACCCGCGGCAAGACGGAAAGACCCCGUGAACCUUUACUAUAGCUUGACACUGAACAUUGAGCCUUGAUGUGUAGGAUAGGUGGGAGGCUUUGAAGCGUGGACGCCAGUCUGCGUGGAGCCAACCUUGAAAUACCACCCUUUAAUGUUUGAUGUUCUAACGUUGGCCCCUUAUCGGGGUUGCGGACAGUGUCUGGUGGGUAGUUUGACUGGGGCGGUCUCCUCCCAAAGAGUAACGGAGGAGCACGAAGGUUAGCUAAUCCUGGUCGGACAUCAGGAGGUUAGUGCAAUGGCAUAAGCUAGCUUGACUGCGAGCGUGACGGCGCGAGCAGGUGCGAAAGCAGGUCAUAGUGAUCCGGUGGUUCUGAAUGGAAGGGCCAUCGCUCAACGGAUAAAAGGUACUCCGGGGAUAACAGGCUGAUACCGCCCAAGAGUUCAUAUCGACGGCGGUGUUUGGCACCUCGAUGUCGGCUCAUCACAUCCUGGGGCUGAAGUAGGUCCCAAGGGUAUGGCUGUUCGCCAUUUAAAGUGGUACGCGAGCUGGGUUUAGAACGUCGUGAGACAGUUCGGUCCCUAUCUGCCGUGGGCGCUGGAGAAUUGAGGGGGGCUGCUCCUAGUACGAGAGGACCGGAGUGGACGCAUCACUGGUGUUCGGGUUGUCAUGCCAAUGGCAUUGCCCGGUAGCUAAAUGCGGAAGAGAUAAGUGCUGAAAGCAUCUAAGCACGAAACUUGCCCCGAGAUGAGUUCUCCCUGAGACUUUAAGUCUCCUGAAGGAACGUUAAAGACGAUGACGUUGAUAGGUCGGGUGUGUAAGCGUAGCGAUACGUUGAGCUAACCGAUACUAAUGAACCGUGAGGCUUAACCUUACAACGCCGAAGGUGUUU